rnacentral:ncRNA from 2 species
AGAGUUAAAAAGUGCGUGAAACCGUUAAAAGGGAAGCAAAUGGCGCUAGCAUUUGUGCCUGUCAUAAUCAAUCAGACGUCUUGAAGCCGUGCGGUGUAGGGAGUGUUAAUUAGCCUCUUACUGUACGUUCGGAGAGUUCGUCUGGUGCACUUGUGGCUGGGUACAGGUCAACAUCAGUUAAGACUGAAACACAAACUCGGCAGGAAGGUGGCUUGCAGCUUCGGUUGUAAGUGUUAUAGCCUGUCGUGAAUGUCUCGGGCUUGACUGAGGAGUCGCAAGUCGUGCUCUUUUGGGCUAGGAACUCUGGCUUCUGUUGUUUUUGUCCUGCUGGACUUGCGAAAAGUAAGUGCUGUGGCGGCAAAAGCGACACCGGUUAGGUGCUUCUAUAAACGAUUUUCGGAUGUUGACGAAAUGGCGUUAUCUGACC